AACCAGAGGUUGUAGUUGACAUGUGUGACGCCGUAGAUGUUGAUGUUGUUUAACUUCAGUUCCUAGAGUUAAUUGUCCAGGUGUGGGCUCAUAUAUAUUGAGGACUUCCAUCGAUGGCCAUCUGAGGUUGAUGAA